rnacentral:rRNA from 1 species
GACGAACGCUGGCGGCGUGCUUAACACAUGCAAGUCGAACGAUGAACCCGGAGCUUGCUCCGGUGGAUUAGUGGCGAACGGGUGAGUAACACGUGAGUAACCUGCCCUUGACUCUGGGAUAACUGCGGGAAACUGUAGCUAAUACCGGAUACGACCCUCGGCGGCAUCGCCAGGGGGUGGAAAGAAUUUCGGUCAAGGAUGGACUCGCGGCCUAUCAGCUAGUUGGUGAGGUAACGGCUCACCAAGGCGACGACGGGUAGCCGGCCUGAGAGGGUGACAGGCCACAUUGGGACUGAGACACGGCCCAAACUCCUACGGGAGGCAGCAGUGGGGAAUAUUGCACAAUGGGCGCAAGCCUGAUGCAGCGACGCCGCGUGAGCGAAGAAGUAUUUCGGUAUGUAAAGCUCUAUCAGCAGGGAAGAAAGACGAAAGUCAAGGACGGUACCUGACUAAGAAGCUCCGGCUAAAUACGUGCCAGCAGCCGCAGUAA